AGCUGGUCUGAGUACAGUGUGUUACAACUAAUUGAUCACAACCAUUUACAGAUUCCUUUGUUCCUUCUCCACUCCUACUGCUUCACUUGAUUAGCCUUAA
rnacentral:Y_RNA from 1 species